GACGAACGUUGGCGGCGUGCGUAACACAUGCAAGUCGAACGGUAAGGCCCUUCGGGGUACACGAGUGGCGAAUGGGUGAGUAACACGUGGGUGAUCUGCCCUGCACUUCGGGAUAAGCCUGGGAAACUGGGUCUAAUACCGGAUAGGACUCCGGACUGCAUGGUCUGGGGUGGAAAGCUUUUGCGGUGUGGGAUGGGCCCGCGGCCUUAGAGCUUGUUGGUGGGGUGAUGGCCUACAAAGGCGGCGACGGGUAGCCGGCCUGAGAGGGUGACCGCGCCAACUGGGACUGACGUACUGCCCAGUCUCCUACGGGAGGUGACUGUUGGGCAUCUUGCACAGGGGGCGCAAGCCUGAUGCAGCAAGGCCGCGUGAGGGAUGGCGGCCUUCGGGUUGUAAUCCUCUUUCACCAUCGACGAAGCGAAAGUGACGGUAGGUGCAGAAGAAGGACCGGCCAACUACGUGGCAGCAGCCGCGGUAA
rnacentral:rRNA from 1 species